AACGAACGCUGGCGGCAUGCCUAACACAUGCAAGUCGAACGAAGCCUUCGGGCUUAGUGGCGCACGGGUGCGUAACGCGUGGGAAUCUGCCCUUGGGUUCGGAAUAACAGUUAGAAAUGACUGCUAAUACCGGAUGAUGUCUUCGGACCAAAGAUUUAUCGCCCAAGGAUGAGCCCGCGUAGGAUUAGGUAGUUGGUGGGGUAAUGGCCCACCAAGCCGACGAUCCUUAGCUGGUCUGAGAGGAUGAUCAGCCACACUGGGACUGAGACACGGCCCAGACUCCUACGGGAGGCAGCAGUGGGGAAUAUUGGACAAUGGGCGAAAGCCUGAUCCAGCAAUACCGCGUGAGUGAUGAAGGCCUUAGGGUUGUAAAGCUCUUUUACCAGGGAUGAUAAUGACAGUACCUGGAGAAUAAGCUCCGGCUAACUCCGUGCCAGCCGCCGCAGUAA
rnacentral:rRNA from 1 species